AGUGAACGCUGGCGGUAGGCCUAACACAUGCAAGUCGAACGGCAGCACAGUAAGAGCUUGCUCUUACGGGUGGCGAGUGGCGGACGGGUGAGGAAUACAUCGGAAUCUACUUUUUCGUGGGGGAUAACGUAGGGAAACUUACGCUAAUACCGCAUACGACCUACGGGUGAAAGCAGGGGAUCUUCGGACCUUGUGCGAUUGAAUGAGCCGAUGUCGGAUUAGCUAGUUGGCGGGGUAAAGGCCCACCAAGGCGACGAUCCGUAGCUGGUCUGAGAGGAUGAUCAGCCACACUGGAACUGAGACACGGUCCAGACUCCUACGGGAGGCAGCAGUGGGGAAUAUUGGACAAUGGGCGCAAGCCUGAUCCAGCCAUACCGCGUGGGUGAAGAAGGCCUUCGGGUUGUAAAGCCCUUUUGUUGGGAAAGAAAAGCAGCAGGUUAAUACCCCGCAGUUCUGACGGUACCCAAAGAAUAAGCACCGGCUAACUUCGUG
rnacentral:rRNA from 1 species